ACGUAGGGGGCAAGCGUUGUCCGGAUUUAUUGGGCGUAAAGAGCGUGUAGGCGGCUGGGUAGGUCCGUUGUGAAAACUCGAGGCUCAACCUCGAGACGCCGAUGGAAACCCCCCAGCUAGAGUCCGGAAGAGGAGAGUGGAAUUCCUGGUGUAGCGGUGAAGUGCGCAGAUAUCAGGAAGAACACCCGUGGCUAAGGCGGCUCUCUAGUACGGUACUGACGCUGAGACGCGAAAGCGUGGGGAGCGAACAGGA
rnacentral:rRNA from 1 species